UCUCCUGGAACGGGUGGUAAUGCCGGAUGUUCCACAUGAGCGCAUGCGAGUGUGGGAAAGGCUUUUUGCGGCAUGGGAUGGGGUCGCGUCCUAUCAGCUUGUUGGUGGGGUAACGGCCUACCAAGGCGUUGACGGGUAGCCGGCCUGAGAGGGCGACCGGCCACAUUGGGACUGAGAUACGGCCCAGACUCCUACGGGAGGCAGCAGUGGGGAAUAUUGCACAAUGGGCGCAAGCCUGAUGCAGCGACGCCGCGUGCGGGAUGGAGGCCUUCGGGUUGUAAACCGCUUUUGUUCAAGGGCAAGGCACGGUUUCGGCCGUGUUGAGUGGAUUGUUCGAAUAAGCACCGGCUAACUACGUGCCAGCAGCCGCGGUAAUACGUAGGGUGCAAGCGUUAUCCGGAUUUAUUGGGCGUAAAGGGCUCGUAGGCGGUUCGUCGCGUCCGGUGUGAAAGUCCAUCGCUUAACGGUGGAUCCGCGCCGGGUACGGGCGGGCUUGAGUGCGGUAGGGGAGACUGGAAAUUCCCGGUGUAACGGUGGAAAUGUGUAGAUAUCGGGAAGAACACCA
rnacentral:rRNA from 1 species